rnacentral:rRNA from 1 species
UCGGCCCUACGGGAGGCAGCAGUAGGGAAUUUUCGUCAAUGGGCGCAAGCCUGAACGAGCAAUGCCGCGUGAACGAGGAAGGUCUUCGGAUCGUAAAGUUCUGUUGAAGGGGAAAAAGAGCGGAGAGAGGAAAUGAACUCCGAUUGAUAUUACCCUUCGAGGAAGUCACGGCUAACUACGUGCCAGCAGCCGCGGUAAUACGUAGGAUGCGAGCGUUAUCCGGAUUUAUUGGGUUUAAAGGGUGCGCAGGCGGAAGAUCAAGUCAGCGGUAAAAUUGAGAGGCUCAACCUCUUCGAGCCGUUGAA